UAGGGAAUCUUCUACAAUGGACGCAAGUCUGAUGGAGCAACGCCGCGUGAGUGAAGAAGGUCUUCGGAUCGUAAAACUCUGUUGUUAGAGAAGAACACGAGUGAGAGUAACUGUUCAUUCGAUGACGGUAUCUAACCAGCAAGUCACGGCUAACUACGUGCCAA
rnacentral:rRNA from 1 species